rnacentral:misc_RNA from 1 species
GUGAAUCAUCGAAUCUUUGAACGCACCUUGCGCUCCAUGGUAUUCCGUGGAGCAUGCCUGUUUGAGUGCCGCGAAUUCUCCCUCCCCUUACGGUGGCCGAAAGGCCGAAGUAGGGCGGACGGGGUAGGAUGGGUGUUGCUGCCUGGGGAUUGUACCAGGCUCGCCCGAAAUGCAUAAGCGCCAGGACCCUCGCUACCGCUCUCUAGGGAAGAGUGGCUAAGCGACCGCUGAGCAUGGCAUGAUACGUCAUUUGCUGUGUGUGGGCGGCCGGUUGGAGAGGUGUCUGCUUUAACAGCCCUUUUUAAUUCUGGUCUCAAAUCAGGUAGGAUCACCCGCUGAACUUAAGCAUAUCAAUAAGCGGAGGA